rnacentral:rRNA from 1 species
GGCCCAGACUCCUACGGGAGGCAGCAGUAGGGAAUCUUCGGCAAUGGGGGGAACCCUGACCGAGCAACGCCGCGUGAGUGAAGAAGGUUUUCGGAUCGUAAAGCUCUGUUGUAAGAGAAGAACGGGUGUGAGAGUGGAAAGUUCACACUGUGACGGUAUCUUACCAGAAAGGGACGGCUAACUACGUGCCAGCAGCCGCGGUAAUACGUAGGUCCCGAGCGUUGUCCGGAUUUAUUGGGCGUAAAGCGAGUGCAGGCGGUUAGAUAAGUCUGAAGUUAAAGGCUGUGGCUUAACCAUAGUAUGCUUUGGAAACUGUUUAACUUGAGUGCAGAAGGGGAGAGUGGAAUUCCAUGUGUAGCGGUGAAAUGCGUAGAUAUAUGGAGGAACACNCGGUGGCGAAAGCGGCUCUCUGGUCUGUAACUGACGC